UGCGUAGGCGGGUCUUAAGUCAGGGGUGAAAUCCUGGAGCUCAACUCCAGAACUGCCUUUGAUACUGAAGAUCUUGAGUUCGGGAGAGGUGAGUGGAACUGCGAGUGUAGAGGUGAAAUUCGUAGAUAUUCGCAAGAACACCAGUGGCGAAGGCGGCUCACUGGCCCGAUACUGACGCUGAGGCACGAAAGCUGGGGAGCAAACA
rnacentral:rRNA from 1 species